rnacentral:misc_RNA from 1 species
UCUCUGCAAUCACACAUCGGGCGUACAUAUAUUCCAAUCAUCUUAAAACAAUGAAUGAACUUAAACAGUGCUUCAAAGAUCAAUAACUUCAGGAUAAAAUCACAAGAGCGCCAUUAUUUUAUUGUCAACUCGAAAUUCUACCAUACCAAUCAGGGGCAUUCUUAGUUGUACAAUACUUUGCUGUGAAAGAUAUCACAGCUGCUAAACAUGACUAACACAACUACUGUAAGUGUUUUGGAAGCGACAGCCAACGUUACAUUGAAUUGUGAAGAUGACUAUAUUCAUCGGAGUAUCUUGUUGGAAUAUGUUCCUGAAAGUAUUUAUGUCGACAGAUACACAACGCCAUUUCUUUAUAUCAUCGGCUUUCCAGGCAAUAUUCUGUCAUUCAUCGUCUGGAUACAAAGGCGCAUGCGUCAUUCAUCUGGAUAUUACUUAGCUGCAAUUGCCCUUGCUGAUCUGUUUUUCUUAGCUUUGCAAAUCGUGCAUGAAGCACAAAGUGCUUGGUUCUUAACUGUCUUAGACUAUCCCAUCAUAUGUGGAGGCUACCCUGUGUUAUUUAUGACUUGCCAAUAUUUACCACCACUGUUCGUGUUAGGUUUCACCGUUGAGAGAUAUAUAUCAGUCUGUCACCCGUUCAAACGUGAACGAUACUGUACCACAAGACGAGCUAAAAUUGUGAUCCUUGCGCUGAUCAUACUUUCAUUCAGUCUGUCUUCUAUGCAAGGAUACUUUUGGCAUUAUAACUCUGCGUGUCAAUCUUGCUCACCUCGGAAGUGGGCAAUUAAUACAUCAUUCUGGACUAUAUGGACUUGGAUAGUUGAAUUUUUGAUAUUUAUGCUCGUCCCAGGUUUGGUUUUGAUCUUCAAUAUACUGGUUAUAUUGGAAGUACGAAGAAUGUCGAAAAUAGAACUUCAUGGUAACGAGCAGCGAACGUCUGCCACAACUCUUAUGCUUUUGACUGUGUCAUUCUAUCUUAUAUUCACGGUUCUACCAGUUACCGUAACAACCUCUCUUUACACAACGUUUCCGUAUGGGAAACUGGGAAUGUCCGAAGAGGAAACCCGUUCUGAUCCAAUAUGGAAAAGAUUCUUUACAUAUGUUUUUAUUAAAGCUAUUGUCAACGAGAUUGGACUAACACACUUCGUAUUUAACUUUUUCAUAUAUUUGAUCACAGGUCGACAGUUUCGCAAGGAACUGGAGAAACUUAUAACAAGCAGUAUAAUCUGCACGAAAUGGAAUGCUUAUAGACAAAGAGAUUUCAGUACGAGUGGGGAGUCCACUUGGGCUUCUAGAUAUAGUAAAAAGGAUUCGCUUGGCAUGAAGCAGGGUGUAAACGGGCACACUUCAUUGUUAGUUAACUGCAACAAUACGACAACUACUACUACUACAAACACCGAAACUGUUGUGAAAAGUUGAAAACAAGGCCUACCAACUGAGUCUUCAUGAUUAGUAAAGACAUCGUAUUACCAUCGACGUGAAACACCUACAAACCGUUAAGAUGAGAGCUGAGACAGAAACUUUCUCCAAUAGUAAUUACUCCCUUUAAUGUUUACUGUGAAGAAGUACAAUUGUAUAACUGGUACCUACUGUGAACAAGGAGCAACCUACAAUAUAAAAGCCCAACCAAUCCAAAUUUGACUCUCCUGUAGCUGAGGAUAUGGCGGAUAUUCAUAACCAAAACACACUGCGUAAUCUACAAAAAGCAUACAAAAAGUAUACAAAAAGUAUAUGCUUAUAUAUUUAGCUAAUAUAUAUAUAUAUUUAUAUUUAUACAUACA